AUUGAACGCUGGCGGCAGGCCUAACACAUGCAAGUCGAGCGAGCGGCGGACGGGUGAGUAAUGUCUGGGAAACUGCCUGAUGGCGGGUGAUAACUCCUGGAAACGGUAUCUAAUACCGCAUACCAUCAGAUGUGCCCAGAUGGGAUUAGCUAGUAGGUGGGGUAACGGCUCACCUAGGCGACGAUCCCGAGCUGGUCUGAGAGGAUGAUCAGUCACACGGGAACUGAGACAAGGUCCAGAAUCCGACGGGAGGCAGCAGGGGGGAAUAUUGGACAAGGGGCGAAAGCCUGAUGCAGCCAUGCCGCGUGGGUGAAGAAGGUCUUCGGAUUGUAAAGCACUUUAAGUUGGGAGGCGUUACCAGCAGAAGAAGCACCGGCUAACUUCGUGCCAGCAGCCGCGGUAAUAC
rnacentral:rRNA from 1 species